AGUCUAUGCAUUGAACACAACUUUUGAUCAGAAACAGCAACAGAGGCUUCAGCAGCAGGUGGAGGCUCUCUGCUAUGGCCACGGGGUCGUCCUGCUCCAGCUGCUCCAGCAGGCCAAUCAGAAGCUCUUUGGGUCUGCAGAACCUGGAUCAGAGGAGGCAGCAGGUUCCAGCCCAUACACCUCACUAUCUCCUGCAGAGAGGGGGACAAGAGGAGUGUUAAUGCAGUGUGCAACACACACGUGAACAAGUCUAAGUGCUGGAAC